rnacentral:tRNA from 1 species
UGCAAUAUGAUGUAAUGGUAACAUACAAGAGUCAUAUUCUCGUUCUGGUAGUUCAAAUCUACCUAUUGCUU